CAAAAUUUUUCUUAAUGUUCUGUCAUAAACUCGUCUUCUGUUCUGCAUUGCUGAAUACUUACCUGCAGCUCUAGGUUGCAUUUCAAUGGAAUUUGCUUUAGGUUUUAAAUUCCCUUUAUAGAGAGAGAAACUGCAGUCCUGUUCCUGAGGCUUCUGAGUAUCCAAACACCUCUCUCCUUGCUUUUUGGUCAUUGGUUGUGCUCCUCGGAGGCCAUUUCAUCAUGUUGCAAGGGGCAGUGCGGGAGUCUGCGGUAUAGAUGUCUGCCUAACAGCUGGUUGCCAUGUCCUACAAACACUUUUCCUGCUGAAAGCAUGUUGGAAGGCAUUUUAAGGGCAGUGCUGGUUAAGGAGAGUCAGCCCAACAGGGAGCUUGGAAAGAUCAUUGGAGUCCUGAAUGCAGAAUAAUUCCCAAAGGAUCCUUUUCUAUUUCACAUGACAUAGUAUUCUUCAGAAAGUCAUUGUGCUUUACACCAAAUAAGAGUAUCUUAUGUGUGUGUGGUGUUCUACACUUUUCACUGGUUCCUAAGAGGGUCCUCCCUUUCCCUCUCCACUUGUUUGCUCAAGGGCAAGCAACUGGAAUUACAUAUCACUUAUGCUCAUCAUUUGACAGAACACAUUGCCUGCACCUCUUGCUGGUUACCUAUGGAGCAGGGAGUACAAAACAAGCAUAGUGCCAGGCGGGGCUUGAGAGGAAUAUCCCCUUCUUUAUAGCCAUGGCCAACUUUCUUAUUGUGAUGAAAAACAAUAAUAAUGCUAAAAAUGAAACAGACAAUGCAGUGCUGGCAACUUUCUUCCUUGGAAAGAGGUAAAGGAUUUUAAAACAUUCGAAAUUAUUUUCCAAAGUGAUCAAUUUGCCCAUAACAAAAACACGGCAACUGCGGUGAUAGCACAUGAGAGCUGGGAAAUAACAGCUCACCACUCCAUUCCAGUGUCUGAAAGGGUCAUAUGACCAUCUGAUCCAAUUUCUGCAAAUCAUCUUCCACGCAAACCUUGUGUCUAUUUGUUGUUACUUUCUUAGCAGCAGAAAAGACGCUUUUGAAUGUGCACAUCUGCCCCCCCCUAAUAUUUUUUAAAGGUUUUAAGGUUUAUGCCCUUCUUUGUAUGAAGUCCCUUUCUUCAGACAACUCAAGAAUACCUUGCAAAUAUUUUUAUUGUAAUUCCGAUGGCCACAGCGUAGGGAGCAUUCAGAAGGACACAGUUCACUGGACUGGAGCAAUGGGGAGGGUGGAAUUCAGCCCCCCGCAUGCUUCACCAGGCUGUGCUCUGCCAAGCUUUCUUAUGCCUUGCCUCUUUGGGACUGCCCUGCGCUGGUGAGUAAAAAGAAACCUGCAGCCACAUUAUGGAGGUCAGGAACACGGAAGUACACUGCAAGCAGCACUUGUCACCAUGAAUAAACAGUGAAAUGUGUUUUUUUUUUUUAAAGUUGCUAAUUCCACCUGGCAUUUCUGAGCCCAGCAUUGGAAGCAUCCAUCUUGUUAAGAAGUGAUGUCAUUUGUGACACUGAUAGUAUUAGAAGAGACCGCAAAUGAAUUUUCAACCUGCUUUAAUAAUGAUUUAACAACCAGGAAAGUAAUCAAUAUUUUAGGGAUAAAUUUUCCACUGUGCCUUUAGCAGACUCCAUUUUUUGCCCAUACAGAACCACGUCUACAGAUCUGCUGGUGAAAAUACAUGUGUGCAUGUGUCAAAAAUGUACAUGGGAAAUACUACACCUGCAAAAUUUACAGCCCAGCACUGACUUUAUAUUGUGAAUUUAUAAAGUGAAUUAAAAAUCCCUUAGCCUUUACCCAGUCUCUGAUAAAACCAAUCCCACCUAUCUUUCCGAUGAAACUACAAAACAAAUAUUGUCUCUGUUUCCUCUUAGAUAUUUUCGUGUUUAAAAACAACCAAAAAAGCUGGAGAGUUUUUGAUAUAGCGCAAUAUCUAGCACAAGGCACAAAAAUGUCAUUUACUGAUAGAAUUGGAUGACAUUUGGAUUUCACAUCCUGGUCACAAAAUGAGAUAAUGGCAUUCUAAAGUGCUUGGGAAAUUGAUGUGUGGAUGCAUUUUUUUAAAAAGUAGAUUAUCCAAACUGA